UCAAACUUGGUCAUUUAGAGGAAGUAAAAGUCGUAACAAGGUCUCCGUUGGUGAACCAGCGGAGGGAUCAUUACAGAAGAGUUCAGACGAGCUCGCCAACCCUUUGUGAACCUACCUAAAUGUUGCUUCGGCGGGCAGCCCCAGGGCGGGGCCGCCGCCUCCCUCGCGGGAGGUGUCCGCCAGAGGCCCCUUUUAUACUCUUGCUUUAAACGGCCUUCUGAGUAACUAAAAAAAUAAAUCAAAACUUUCAACAACGGAUCUCUUGGCUUUGGCAUCGAUGAAGAACGCAGC
rnacentral:misc_RNA from 1 species